rnacentral:rRNA from 1 species
GGAAUCUUGCGCAAUGGGGGAAACCCUGACGCAGCAACGCCGCGUGAGUGAGGAAGGUCUUCGGGUCGUAAAGCUCUGUCAGGCGGGAAGAAAUGGAUGGAGGUGAACAGCCGCCAUGCUUGACGGUACCGCCAGAGGAAGCACCGGCUAACUCCGUGCCAGCAGCCGCGGUAAUACGGGGGGUGCAAGCGUUGUUCGGAAUCAUUGGGCGUAAAGAGCGUGUAGGCGGCUUGGUAAGUCAGAUGUGAAAGCCCUGGGCUCAACCCGGGAAGUGCAUUUGAAACUGCCAGGCUCGAGUAGGGGAGAGGGAAGUGGAAUUCCUGGUGUAGAGGUGAAAUUCGUAGAUAUCAGGAGGAACACCGGUGGCGAAGGCGACUUCCUGGCCCUAUACUGACGCUGAGACGCGAGAGCGUGGGUAGCAAACAG